GCUGUAUCAAAUAUGUGAAAAGUUGCUUAAAAGUAAAAAACUUAUUGGUUGAUGAUUAGUAAUUGUUUUUGAUAAAAGUGUAUAUAAUUUAUUUUUUAAAAGCUGCGUAAUAAUCCGUAAAAUAUGUUAACUUUACGUGACAGACAAAUAAAUGCUAUAAAGCAGAUGCUCAAUCUGAAUACGCAACAGCCGAAAAUGUUAGCUGCAGAGCCGGUAUGGAAAAUAUUAAUCUUUGAUCGGGUUGGACAGGACAUCAUUUCGCCUAUAAUUUCCAUUAAAGAGUUACGCGAACUAGGCGUGACUUUACAUGUACAACUACAUUCCGACCGUGACUCUAUACCAGAUGUGCCUGCCGUUUACUUUUGCUUGCCAACCGAUGAAAAUUUAGAUCGUAUUCAGCAGGAUUUUGGUAACGGGUUGUACGAUGUUUACCAUUUGAAUUUUUUGGCGCCCAUAACGCGACAAAAAAUUGAAGAUUUGGCUGCAGCCGCACUGCAAGCCGGUUGUGUGGCUAACAUACAUCGUGUAUACGAUCAAUAUGUGAACUUUAUCAGUUUAGAAGAUGACUUUUUCAUAUUGAAACACCAGAAGAGUGAGCAAUUGUCCUAUUAUUCCAUAAAUCGUGCAAAUACGCGCGAUGAGGAAAUGGAGGCAUUAAUGGACUCUAUAGUAGAUUCACUAUUUGCCGUAUUUGUCACAUUAGGCAACGUGCCAAUUAUACGUUGUCCGCGUAAUAGCGCAGCAGAGAUGGUGGCACGUAAAUUGGAGAAGAAAUUGCGUGAGAACCUAUGGGAUUCGCGCUCCAAUCUUUUUCACAUGGAUGCCACGCAAGCCGGUGGUGGUGUAUUUAGUUUCCAACGUCCCGUGCUGCUAUUGUUGGAUAGAAAUUUAGAUUUAGCCACACCAUUACAUCACACAUGGUCUUAUCAAGCGUUGGUGCACGAUGUACUAGAAUUGGGACUAAAUUUAGUAUACGUCGAGGAUGAGAGUGCAACAAACACGGGUACACGUAAGAAACCAAAAGCUUGCGAUCUUGAUCGCAAUGAUCGAUUUUGGGUGACGCACAAAGGUAGUCCAUUCCCUACAGUGGCCGAAGCCAUACAAGAAGAAUUAGAGUCCUAUCGCAAUUCAGAGGACGAAAUCAAGCGCCUGAAAACAUCUAUGGGCAUUGAUGGUGAAACUGAAGUGGCAUUUUCCAUGGUUAACGAUACCACGGCACGUCUCACCAACGCUGUCAAUUCAUUGCCACAAUUGAUGGAAAAGAAGCGUCUAAUAGAUAUGCACACAAAAAUCGCCACGGCAAUCUUAAACUAUAUAAAAGCGCGUCGUUUGGAUUCUUUCUUUGAGUUAGAGGAGAAAAUCAUGUCGAAACAAACGCUUGAUCGACCGUUACUGGAAUUGCUGAAAGAUCCUGAAUUCGGCUUACCCGAAGAUAAGUUGCGACUGUUCAUCAUCUAUUAUAUAUGUGCGCAAAAUGUACCCGAAUUUGAAAUUGAACGCAUGAAGGAAGCGCUACAAGAGGCCGGCUGUGAUCUUUCGCCACUUGCAUAUGUACAGCGUUGGAAGGGUAUUAUGAAUCGCUCACCGGCACUCAGUCAAGCUGCGCAAUACGAGGGCGGUGGUACACGUACCGUUUCUAUGUUCUCGAAAUUGGUAUCGCAAGGCUCAUCAUUUGUGAUGGAGGGUGUCAAGAAUUUGGUCGUCAAAAGACAUAGUCUGCCGGUAACGAAAAUCACCGAACAGGUGAUGGAAUGUCGCAGCAAUUCGGAAACCGAUGAUUAUCUUUAUUUGGAUCCCAAACUCUUAAAAGGCGGCGAUGUCUUACCAAAGAAUCGUGCACCAUUCCAAGAUGCGGUCGUCUUCAUCGUAGGCGGUGGCAAUUAUAUUGAAUACCAAAAUUUGGUGGACUACAUCAAACAAAAGCAAACGGCGAAUGUCAAUAAGCGCAUCAUCUAUGGUGCAUCGACGUUGAGCAAUGCGAAACUUUUCCUCAAAGAGCUAUCGGCAUUGGGGAGAGAAAUACAGGCGCCAGUCUUGAGUUAGGAACGGCAAAGCAGAUACAGGGUACACGUCAAAUUGAAAUGCUGUUGAACGUGCUGGCAGCGUCUUCUGACCAUCAUCAUUUCAGUGCUGUAGCACCUUUUUGUUAGUAGGCAUUGGUUUCUUGUUUUCGACAAUUUAUGAUAUACUUAUAUACAAACAUAAAUGAAAGCCCAGAUGUAACUGAGUUGCAUGGGGAUACAUAAAAAUAUUGAUACAUUACAUUUAAAAUUUAUUAUUUUAUAAAUCACGCCUUAUUAUAUGAGUAUGUAUGUAGCUCGAUUACAUUUAUUUUAUGCAAUAAUUGAAAGGAAGUAAUAAAUAUUUAUAGCAAAAGAAAUAUAAA